GAGGGUAUAGCUUAGUGGUUGAGAGUGUGCUUCGCAUGCACAAAGUCCUGGGUUCAAUCCCCAGUACCUCA
rnacentral:tRNA from 1 species